UUCAAAUCCAUUGUGGUGGAUUUGAAAGUGAAAAAAAUUGUGUCACUGUCCAAAUGCUUAUGGACCUGACUGUACUACGUGUCUUUGCGUGGUUUACUUAAUUUCUGUAACUACACAACAAACUGGUGAGGAAGAUGGCCGUUCAUCUUCCUCCAGCCUGCCUACAGUGCCCCUGAUAACCUGCAAUCCACUUUAUGACAUGGAUUAAAAUGUUCCAGAAUCACCUGCUUGUGAUUAAUGUGGAGGGAGAUAAGUGGCCUGAUGCCCCUAAGCAUGCUAAUAUGCUCCACUGUCUUGGUUCAGAGACUCCAAGAAUCUUUCACAUGCUAUCUGAUGCAGGUUUGUUGUAUGCACCUGCCCUUGCUGCUUUACAAUCUCACUUUGCACCUAAAUUUAACGUCAAUGCCGAACGGCAUAAGCGUUUGUCAGAGGGAGCAAUGGCCAGAUGAAACUAUUGCACAGUAUUCAAUUCAGUUCAAUUUUAUUUGUGUAGCACUUUUAACAAUGAACAUUGUCACAAAGCAGCUUUACAGAAAUAUAUAAUUUAUGGAUAUAAAUUUUAAAUUUAUAAACUUAUUCCUACUGAUCACUAACCCUUAACCCUAACCCUAGGCAUGUGGCUUCAUUAUGAGAAAUGCUAUCUCUACGACUUCAGUGUGAAAGAGGAUAAAAGGUUUAGGGUAAUAAUAGAUCAUUCAGAUUUGAGAACAUUUAUUACCUACGUGGAAAUAGAAUACAGAAAGAGAAUACAGAUGGCCAGCCAAGUGGAGAAUACUGUGGCUAAAGUUACCAAGUUAAAGAAGUCUGCCGAACUACCAAUAAAGAAAGUGAAUGUGAAAAAGAAAGAGCACACAGAAAAACAUGGGCACUAGCGAGCAAAGAAAGAAACUCAAAGGGUCACGCGGAAGCGCGGUCUAGGUGCAGAUGCUACUGAUGUGAUUCCAAGUCACACUUAGCGCUAAACAUGCAAAAUGUGAAAUGUAAAAAAAAAAAAAAAGCGUUGAAAAAUGGUAAUUUUGUCAUUCUGCUGGAAAACGAGAUGUUAAAGAAAUGAAGAGCUAGAACUCACUUUUCUGUACAUGACCUUUUCUGUAGAAGAUUAAAGAGUUUAUUGUUGUAUGCACAGUAAAGCACAAUGUCUGUACAAUGUCAUUCUUACUCUGCAUUCCUUCUAUUGAUACUGUACAGAUUGUGUUAAUUAUUACAGUUUGGCAUAAAAAACUGUGAUCCUGGCAACCCUGACUAUACAGAAAAAGCUUGAGAUCUUGUCUUAUAGAUGAUUUCUUCUGCAUCAUGAGUGAAUCUCUGUUGUAUUCUGUCCCUCAGUGUUUGUUCAGCCUUCCCCCCAUCAGGUUAUUCCACAGCAGAUGUUGGGUAGGACACUGGGUGAUGCUCCCACUGUGAUUAAUUGCCCGCACUGUCUUCAACAAAUUACCACCAGCGUGUCUUAUAAACCUGGAAAUGCAGCAUGGGCCAUGUGCUGCCUGCUUACACUGUUUGGAAGGAACGAUGCAGCACUCAGAAUACACAAAGCCACAGCCUGGUGCACAUCACACAGCAGUUUAGUGACUCUGGACUUGACUGAGAUUUGACUUGGGCUUUAGGUGACUUGAUUUAAUUAUAAAUGAUGAUCAAUGCUGUGAUUAUUUAAUGAGAAUAAAAUAAAAACACACACAGUUUAUUACCAUCGUUGUAUUUACAUUGAAAAAUGAUUUGUAGCUAAUUUAUUCUAUCCUUGGACUUAAAGCAAGCAAUAACGUCAUUACUGAAAUAGAAAUCUUUCGGAUCAUGAUCUGUAAGAUUAAACUGAUAAAUGUGACGUGCUCAUGCAUUUUGUGUGGAUGCAGACAGUAGAAGCGUUUGAUGUGUUAAUGGGCGUAGAUAAAUGUAAUAAAUAAAUUUAUUCAGUUUUCCUUUGAGAUAAUUAAAGUAACAUGCUGGUAACAGUGGAAACUAACGUCUUAUGAAACGUCUUGAUAAACAAUACAUUUUCCUUUAUUUAA